UCCUGCGCCGGGACUUAGCUCCGCGUAGGGCGAAAGGACCCGCGAAGCCGAGAACAGGUUUGACUCUGGUCAAGGGCACGUACCUGUUUCCUCCGUUACAAGCUGGAUCCCCAGCCCAAACCAGGGCACGUGCAGGAGGCAACCAAUGGAUGUGUUUCUCUGUCUCUCCCCACUUCCUUCCACUCUCUAAAAAAAUCAUUGGAAAUAUAUUCUCAGGUGAGGGGAAAAAGAAAAAAAAAAAAAAAGGAC